CGAGCCGGGCGGGCGGCCGCGUGGGGGUCCUGAUGGACCUCCCCGAGGAACGUCCGGGCUCCACAGGGCAGGGUGGUGGCUAACGGCCACCCGGGGUGACCCGCGGGACAGUGCCACAGAAAGCAAACCGCCCGGGGCUUCGGCCCCUGGUAAGGGUGAAACGGUGGUGUAAGAGACCACCAGUGCCCAGGGUGACCUGGGCAGCUCGGUAAACCCCACCCGGAGCAAGGUCAAAAGGAAACACCCCGGUGUUUCUGCGCGGACGAUCGAGGGCUGCCCGCCCGAGUCCGCGGGUAGACCGCACGAGGCCGGCGGCAACGCCGGUCCUAGAUGGAUGGCCGUCGCCGGAGGGCCCGCGAGGACCCUUCGGAACAGAACCCGGCGUACAGCCCGACUCGUCUG
rfam:Streptomyces sp. MTSC 93 79, whole genome shotgun sequence.